rnacentral:rRNA from 1 species
CAGUAGCCGCGGGAAUACGAAGGGGGCUAGCGUUGCUCGGAAUGACUGGGCGUAAAGGGCGCGUAGGCGGUUUUGACAGUCAGAUGUGAAAUUCCUGGGCUUAACCUGGGGGCUGCAUUUGAGACGUCAAGACUAGAGUGUGAGAGAGGGUUGUGGAAUUCCCAGUGUAGAGGUGAAAUUCGUAGAUAUUGGGAAGAACACCGGUGGCGAAGGCGGCAACCUGGCUCAUUACUGACGCUGAGGCGCGAAAGCGUGGGGAGCAAACAGGAUUAGAUACCCGAGUAGUCCCUGUCUCUUAUAC